rnacentral:rRNA from 1 species
UACGUAGGGUGCAAGCGUUAAUCGGAAUUACUGGGCGUAAAGCGUGCGCAGGCGGUUAUGCAAGACAGAUGGGAAAUCCCCGGGCUUAACCUGGGAACCGCAUUUGUGACUGCAUAGCUGGAGUACGGCAGAGGGGGAUGGAAUUCCGCGUGUAGCAGUGAAAUGCGUAGAUAUGCGGAGGAACACCGAUGGCGAAGGCAGCCCCCUGGGCCGACAUUGACGCUCAGGCACGAAAGCGUGGGAGCAAACAGG